AUUAAACCCUCUGUGGCGUUUAUCAAACAGCUUAUUUGAUUUGACAAUGUGAGAUGAGGCAUCAUAAGAGGACUGGUAAACCAGCUUUUUUCACUGAUCAGACUGGCAUGCUCUCUGCCAGCUGGAGGUUGAGAGCUGUAGUUCCAACCACACAACUUUGUGAUGCUGUAUAUGAACAUUCAUUGGAACUAUAGAUUCGGAAACACCAAAUCUACGCUGGUAACAAUCGAACUUGGGACCAUAGUUGGUCCUAUCUGUGCUCCUGGAAAACACACCCCUCUUUUCAGCAAAUUUUGUCACAUUUCAUGUUUUACACAUAUGUAUUUGGAAUAAAAACAGUAACUUCAAAUAAUAUUAAUAAUGAACAAAUUGCAUUUACGCUAAAGAAUACAAAUGUUCUCACAUUUUAUGAUCUAUUGGGACAUUGAGCCAAUCACCUGAGCCAAAAAAUGUCAUGUGACCAGAUAAUGAUGCCAUUACCUUGCUGAUUGAUUAAUGGAACCACAAGAACACACAUCAAACUACGCUGGAUUUACUUCUGUUCCUUUCCUCAUUAGCAUCUGCCUCCUGGACUUGAUUAUUCAAAGACUUCUUCAGCAGACUUGUUUUUGGAGAAGCGGGAACUCUACGCACCAUGAGUCCAGUGCUGCUCUCCAGCGCUCUGUGUGCAACUGCAAUGCUGACAGAUGGCACUGCCCAGGAUGUUGGUUUCAUGCCAUGUCACAGUCUUUAGAGGGACGAAAGCCGUACUGUCUGUUCAAAGUGAACAAAGGCUUAACGACAAAAAACAUCACUGUAUUAACAAAGCUAAAGGGCUUAUCUGAACAAAACACACUUUUAGAGGUCUUAGAGAGGGGCACGCCGAGAGAAUCAGGUCUGUUACUUAAUGUUGUGUAUUACAUGUUACAUGCAUGGCUGUCAUGUGUGAAUGUCAUAUCUAACGUAGGCCCUUAUCUAACGCCUUUGAAUAACUAGCCAUCCAUAAUUAUAGCAACUGCGAUGACUAUUAAAAACCCUUUACUAGCAGAGAAAAUAAUGACCUUCCGUGUCGUUCAGUGCCUGUUCGUAUUGUAUUUUUUUCAAGG
ensembl:lncRNA